rnacentral:rRNA from 1 species
CUGGCUCAGGAUGAACGCUGGCGGCGUGCUUAACACAUGCAAGUCGAACGAGGUUAAAGAAGAAAGCUUGCUUUCAUUUUUAACCGAGUGGCGGACGGGUGAGUAACGCGUAAGAAGCUGUCCGAUGCAGGGGGACAACAGACGAAAACAUCUGCUAAUACCCCAUAAGCCUUUGGGUAAAAGAAUAAUCGGCAUCGGAGGUGCUUGCGUCCUAUCAGCUAGUAGGGGCGGUAAAAGCGCACCUAGGCGAAGACGGGUAGCCGGACUGAGAGGUUGGACGGCCACAUUGGAACUGAGACACGGUCCAGACUCCUACGGGAGGCAGCAGUGGGGAAUAUUGGGCAAUGGGGGCAACCCUGACCCAGCGACGCCGCGUGAGUGAAGAAAUCCCUCGGGAUGUAAAGCUCUGUUGUACGGGACGAGAGAGAGACGGUACCGUACGAGGAAGCCCCGGCAAACUACGUGCCAGCAGCCGCGGUAAUACGUAGGGGGCGAGCGUUGUCCGGAAUUACUGGGCGUAAAGCGCACGCAGGCUGAUUGUUAAGUCAGAUGUAAAAUAGUGAGGCUCAACUUCAUUAUGAGUCUGAUACUGGCAGUCUAGAGUAUGUGAGAGGAAAGCGGAAUUCCUGGUGUAGCGGUGAAAUGCGUAGAUAUCAGGAGGAACACCGGUGGCGAAGGCGGCUUUCUGGCACAAGACUGACGCUCAUGUGCGAAAGCCAGGGGAGCGAACGGGAUUAGAUACCCCGGUAGUCCUGGCCGUAAACGAUGGAUACUAGGUGUGGGUGUCGCAGGGCAUCCGUGCCGGAGUUAACGCGAUAAGUAUCCCGCCUGGGAACUACGGCCGCAAGGCUGAAACUCAAAGGAAUUGACGGGGGCCCGCACAAGCGGUGGAGCACGUGGGUUUAAUUCGAUGCAAACCGGAAGAACCUUACCUGGAUUUGACAUACAUGUGGUAGUGAAGUGAAAGCGGAACGACCUUAGCUUGCUAAGGAGCAUGAACAGGUGCUGCAUGGUUGUCGUCAGCUCGUGUCGUGAGAUGUUGGGUUAAGUCCCGCAACGAGCGCAACCCCUAUGGUCAGUUGCUAACAGGAGAGCUGAGCACUCUGGCGAGACUGCCGCCGACAAGGCGGAGGAAGGUGGGGACGACGUCAAAUCAUCAUGGCCUUUAUGUCCAGGGCGACACACGUGCUACAAUGGCCGGCACAGACGGAAGCGACUUUGCGAAAAGGAGCGGAUCCUCGAAAGCCGGUCCCAGUUCGGACUGCAGUCUGCAACUCGACUGCACGAAGUCGGAAUCGCUAGUAAUCGCAGAUCAGCCAAGCUGCGGUGAAUACGUUCCCGGGCCUUGCACUCACCGCCCGUCA